rnacentral:lncRNA from 1 species
UGGAAUUGGUGAAAAUUUUCACCAUGUGGAUGAUCAUUGAUCUAUCAAACAAUCAGUUUGAAGGGGGUAUUCCAGAGGUUUUUGGGAAGCUUAACUUACUGAAAGGGCUCAACCUUUCUCAUAAUAACCUUAAUGGUGGUAUCCCCACCUUAAUAGGGAAUUUGACAAGUCUUGAAUGGUUGGACCUAUCUUCAAACAGGUUGUCUGGGACGAUUCCAAAUAGAUUGGCAGAUCUGCCAUUUCUUUCGUCCUUCAAUGUUUCUGAAAAUCAACUCCAUGGUCAGAUUCCUCAAGGCAAACAGUUCAACACAUUUGGAAAUGAUUCAUAUGAAGGAAACAAGGCAUUAUGUGGAUUUCCGGUCUCAAAAGGUUGCAACAUCAUUGAGCCAGCACCUCCAAAUGUGCUUGAAAAAGAUGGCUCAAAAUCAAACAUUACUUUUGGUUGGAAAGUGGUGUUGAUAGGUUAUGGAUGCGGAGUGGUGUUCGGAAUGUCCGUGGGAUAUGUUGUUUUCCAAACUGGUAAGCCGAAAUGGUUGGUGAAUUUGGUUGAAAUCCAACAUGAGAAGAAGCGAAGAAGAAAGUCAAAGGAUGGCAGUCGCAGCAAUGGACGAAGAAGAAUCUAGUUAGUGGAAAUGAUGUUCAAGUGUUGAUGUUGUAUCUUCAUAAUUUCUUGUUUUGAAGUCUGUCAAAUUUUUUUCCUAUCGUGAAAGGCUGCAUUGCCAUGCAUCUGUCUUUUUUAUUGUAACCAUUCAUCUAUAUUUCAUUGCAUUACGUAGUAUUUGUAAGGGUUUGUUUUAAAUGUAACAUUUUGUAUGGUUCAACUAUUUAUGUCUCUUUCAUGAGUUUCAUUUUUGAGUCUCAAUAAUCUCUGCAUUCAAGAUUUUGUCAGCUUAUUAAUUGGUGGAUCAAUAAUCUUCAUGCUCAUCUCAUCAUCUUUUUCUCGAGUUAAACACAGUCACUACUAUAAUAAUUUCUUCUGUGUGGAAAAUAAUUUGGCAUUCUGCAAAUUUCCACAAUGCUUGUGGAUUACCUCUGGUUGACGGCUAUACAUAUAAAGGAAGGAAACAAGACUAUGUCAAAAUUUCCAAAAAUCAGUCAUUCAUUUUUGAACAAUUAAACAUUCGUAUUCUAUUUUUCAAAAUUGUAAAUCCUCAAAUAAUGUAAAUUAGUCCUAAAACUCAAGUUUUGAAAUCUUUACAAUUUAACCCCUUAUAGUUUCAAACUUUACUAUUUUAUGCUCAACUUUCUAAAUCUUCAUAUUUCAUGAUCAUAUAAUUUAGUUAUUACAUCAAUAUUUCAGAUUUCACUACUCAAACCCUUACUUCAUUUUGGUCCUUACUUCAAUUUUAUCAAAUUAAAUCAUUUUUCAAUUUGAAUGCAUUGAUGUGAAAUUAAGGGACCACUAAACAAUGUUGAUGCGAGUUUAGGCAAAAUUGGUGGAUCCCAUCUCCACAGCAAUUUCUUUAUGGAAGUACUUGCUUUCACACUGCAAACUUGGAUAGUUUGUGGUGGACGAUGAUGAAUCAUUUCACAAUCAAACACACCAUUUUUAAACACAUAUAUUGAAAUCAUUAUUAAAAUUAUAAUCAAAAUUAAUACAAGUUCUUUUUAUUAGCUUAAGGGCGUAAAAACUCUUCAAAAUUUUCCAAAUAAAAAAUAAAAAAUUUAAGUCCCUCUUUUUUUUUUACACUCAAUUGAGUACUUAAACUUUUAAAAUGUAUCAAAAAUAUCUUAACACUUCUUCAAAAAAAGCAAUUAAACCCCCUUUUUUUUCCGCUCAAUUGGGUACUUGAAUUUUCAUAAUGCAUCAAAAAUACCUUAAUUUUUUUUUCAAAGAAACAAUUAAGCCUCUAUUUUUUUCCUACUCAACUAGGUACUUGAACUGUCAAAAAAACAAUUAAGCACCUACUCUUAUUAAAAAUUAGAAAAAAAAUCAUAAAAAUAAGAAAAAUUUAGAAAAAAUUAUUAAAUUUUAAUAAAAAUUUAAAAACUUAUUAAAAAUUAGAAAAAAUUUUAGAAAAAUUGUCAAAAAAUAAAAAAUUAUAAAAUUUUAUAAUUAAGCACUCUUAAAAUUUUGAAAAUUCUCAUUAAUCUCACACAAAUUUAAAAUUUUUUAUUAGACCCCCAAUUUUUUUUAAAAAUGUUAUUAAACCCUUAAAUUUUUAGAAAAUUUUACCUGCCCCCUCCCAAAAAAAAAACUAGUCCCAACUCUUAGGAUCCGCCAUUGGUACUUGGUAUUAACACUAUUAGAAAAUUGCUAAAUCAACCAAUGAAAAUUUGACACAUGGAACCCUUUUUUUAAAUUAUCAAGUUACGGAUGUUCUUCAAGGGCAUGGAACUCAACUUGAAAAUUUUACUAAUUUGGUUGCAAAAAACAUUGAGGAAGCAUAUAAUGAUCUAACCCUUUUUUGUUUUGUUCUGUUUUUAAUUUGUUAUGGGAUUCUAUUGAAUGAUAAUUUUUUUUAUUUCCCAUACUUGGUUCUUCAACAACAACAUAUUCGAGAUUUUAUUUUUCUAGAAUUUUUAUAUAAAAGUUUGUAUUUUUUAAAAUAAUUUUGAGUUUUUUAUAAUUUUUAUAUAGAAUCGAGGUAAAUUGGCAAAAAAUUAUAAAAAACAAAAUACUAAAAUUGUUUAGUUAAGUGACCAAAGCGAAGAUCUACCCAUAGUUCAGUGGCUAAUUAUGUAGUUUACCCUUUCAUAAUUAAAAAAAUAGUUGUUCAGUUUUUCUUGUAUUAGAUAACAUUUUAGAUGGUAAAAACCCUCUUUAGUCCCUCUCAAUUUUGAUAUUAAGUAAAUUGGUCCAUUUUUUUUUAAAAAAAUCAAAGCAAUUUAAUCUUUGUUAAUUUCGAAAGUGAGCAACUAAGGACAAUUAAUCACAAUGUCAAUAUUUUCCAUCAAUUGUACAUAUUUUUAUUGGUAUAAUAACAAAUUUAGCUCUCCAAGUUUACACAUUCUAUCAAUUUGUUUUGAUUUAACAAAUUUAGCCCGCAACAGUUACAUAUUCUAUUAACAUUUACACAUAAUAUAUAAACAUCGAGAGCUUAAUUUGUUAUUAUAUAAAUAAAAUUAUGUACAAUUUACAGAAAGCAUUAACACAAUAAUUAAUUGUCCUUAGUUGCUCCAUUUCAAAAUUGAUAAUGAUUAAAUUGCUCUAAUUUUCUGAGAGAAACCAAUUUCUUCAAUAUAGAAAUUGAGAGGGACGAGAAAUGUGUUUUUAUCCAUUUUAGAUACUAACAAGUGUUUGGCGUAGUGGCAAGGCAUAUUACAUUCUCAAGGAGAGAAUGCGUAUUCAAACGUUGGAGAUAAUAAUAUUGUGUGGGGUAUCCACGGAUCUCGAACACAGACUGUAAAACAUAUAUAAAAAAUAAAAAGAAUAACAUCUUAAUUUAAAUAAUUAAUAAAUUUUAAUUUCAAAAAAGUAUUUUGAGAAACAUAGGUUUUAGUAAAUAGUAAAAUUGAAUCGAUAAAACAUGUCCAGUAUAUCAGAAUCAUAAAAAUACAACUUAAUUAAUUUGAAUUUAAACUUAACUCGACUCAAUUUGAUUAUAAAAAACUGAUAAUUUGAAUCCAAAAUGACAUGAUCUUGAAAUGAUUUGAAUUAAUUGUCAAACCCAAACGACAAAACUCGAAAUGAUGCAAUCCAAAAACACAAGUCAAAUGAACUAAACUAUGAAAGAAAAAAAAAACCUUACACCGACUCAAAUCCAAAAUAAUUUAAUCCUAAAAUAACCCAAAUUUUAUAUAAUAUAAACUCGAAAUAACCCGAUAAUUUUUUUCAGUCUUACUGUGUUUAUCUUUAUAAGUAUUCUUGUUUUCCUUGCCCAUACAUGUAUUGUAGUUAUCAAAAAAUAUAUUCUACUUUGGAUUUUAUUUAUAUUAAAUUUUAGGUUAAAUUCCGCUAUUACUCUCUGUACUUUAUGAAAAUGAUGGAUUUAAUCAUUGUACGUUAAUUUAAUCAAUUUUAGUCUUUGUAUUUUUUGAAUUGGUCAAUUUUAAACCAUUUACUUUUUGAAUUUUGAAAUUUUAGUCUUGAUUCAAAUAAUAUUAAUAAUAAUAAAAUCUGCUUAUUUAAAUUUAAUUAUUAGUUUUGUACUAUGUAGACAAUUAUAGAUUUAAUCCAUAUUUUUCAAUUGGGUCAUUCCAAGUCUUUAUACUUUUCAAAUUUUAAAAUUUCAAUAUUGAUGCAGAAUGCGAGUUGCUAUUAAUUAAUUGAUUUUUUUAGCCAAUGCAUGUAGAAAUAAUAAGUUGUUAUGUCAUUAUACUUAAAAUAAUAUAUUGGUUUAACCCGCUUAAAUUAUGUCUUUUUUUCCAUCUUGGGACCUAAAUUUUUUUGGGGUCAUAAGUGGUACCUAAACUACUUUUUUUUCUCCUUCAAAUUAGGGCUCCUUUGGAUCACCAGCAAGUUUCAGUGUGGUGAGAUUUAAAGAGUAAAAAAAAUUUGAACUGAAACGCAGCUCUAUUUGGGGUGUUUGGCAAGCACACCAGUAAGCAUUUUUCACCUCACUGUAACCCAAAAUAUUGGCUGGAGUUAAAAGCUUCAGUGGACUGAUUUGGAAGUCCAAAAAUAAGAGUAAUUAUUAUUUUACCCCUCCAAUUCUUCCUUUAUUAUUUAUUUUAUUUAAAACAGAUAACAUAAGUUUAAUAUGUCAUUAUUUAAUAUUAUUUAAUUUACAAUAAAAUUAUAAUUUUUAUUUAUAAAUUUAGUAUAAAUACAAUUUAAUUUAUAUUUUAUUAUUUGAUUCAAAUAUAAUCUGUAAAAAUAUUUUGAUAUUUUAUUAUGAAUAUAAUUUAAAAAUAUUUUAUUGUAUAUUUAAAAUAUUUUGAUAUUUUAUUAUGAAUAUAAUCUGUAAAAUAUUUUGAUAUUUUUGAAUUUUUCUCUAGUUUUAAUUUAUUUUUAAUUAUUUAUUAUUAAAAAUAAAUAUAAUUGUAAUAAUUUUUAAUUAUUUAUUAAUUUUGUAAUUGUUAAAUAAUUUUAAAAACUUCUAUUAUAUAUAUUUUUAAUCUAAUGUCCUUAAAAGUCAUUUUCUAUUUUCACCUCACCGCUACAACUGCGUUUGAAUCCAAACACACACUCCACCGCUGUUUCUAAUCUCACCGCUACAGUAUCCAAUCUCACCGCUACAGUACCUAAUCUCACCGCCACCGCUGUUUUUAACCUUACCGGAACUAAACACACCGCCCAUCCAAACCCACCCUUAGUAUAUUCAUUAGUUAAACUGUUAAGUCUAUUUAAAAAAGAAAGACUCGGACAACAAAUUAAUACUUAAACAAUGCUCUUUUUCCCAAGGUACCUAAUUUUUAUUUUGGCCAUGAGUAUUACUAAAACUAUUAUUCCAUUACUCAUUUUACACCAAAAUGUUAUAUCGGCUGAAAAGAUUCCAACAAAUAAUAGAUUGUAUGUCAUAUAAACUUUUAAAAAUAAUUAUUAAUUAAUUUUUUUCAUAUAAACUGAACGGUUUGACUAAUGACGGAGGUACCAAAUUAUAGUCUAGGUACCAAUUUAUGGGUUAAGCCUAUUUCUAAAAUAGACUUUUGACUAAUGGCGGUAGUAACUUGGGAAAAAAAAGUAGUUUAUGUACCACUUGUGAACAAAAAUAAGUUUAGGUACCAACAUCGUAAAAUGAGUAUAAUUUAGAUACCGAUUUAUGAGUUAAGCCUAAUAUAUUUGUUGCAUCAUUUUUUUGAAAAUAACAGAACUUAAUAAAUUUAACGGUUAUUUUUUGGUGAUGACUAAAAUUUUAAAAUUUGAAAAGUACAUGAACUAAAAAUGACCAAAUUAAAGUAUAAAGAUUAAGUCCACAACUUUUACAAAGUACAAGGAGUAAUAGCAGAAAUUAACCUAAAUUUCAUAUGGGUCACUUACAAAAAUAAUCACUAAACUAUUCCUUUGGUUCUAUUCUAGUCACUCAACUAUAAAGGUGCUCAUGAGCCGGGCCAGGUCAGGCCUAAGCAUGAUAUUAACGUACCUUAUGCUUGCUCAAGCUUGGCUCGGCCCGAAAUAUGAGCUUAAAAUUUCGCCUAAACUCAUCCAUAUUUGCAAAAGACUAACCUAAGCUCAUUUUAGGCAUGCCCAUAUAAUUUUUAGUUUUUUUUUAAUAUUUAUAUUAUAUUAUAUUAAUAAUUAAUAAUUUAAACUUUUUUUAUUUAUUGAAACUUUUUAUAUAGUCAUUUUAACAUUAUUUUAAUGUUUACAUUAUAGUAUUAUUAUAUAUUUAGUAUAAGUUUAUUUUGUUAAUCUAUUCUAAACUAUAUAAUAUAAAGUAUCAUACACUUAAAAAUAGGCCGAGCUGGGCUUGAGCUUUGAAUGUUCAAGCCUGAACUCAGCCCAAAUUUUAAACGGGCCUAAUUUUUUUACCCAAACCCAAUUUUUGGGCCUAAUAUUUUUAUCCAGACCCUCCCAAAUUUUGGGCAGCCCUUGGGCCUUGGCAAGUAGCCCAACUCAUUAACAAGUUUACUCAACUAUUAAUUUUUUCGAUUUAGUUGUUAACCUUUUCGAAAGUAAAUAUUUUAGUCACUCUCCUGUUAGGUGUUGUUAAAUGAGUGAUGGAAAGCUAAUGUGGGCUUUUUUUAUUAGUCUAAAAACAAAUUUUGCCCUCUAAUGUUUACACUUCUAUCAAUUUGAUCCUAGAUAUAAAAAAAAAUCAAAAAAUUUAGCCCUGAAUAUUAUCAAAAAUUAGCGAUUUAGUUCUAAUUCUAAAAAUUUUAAUAUAUACAUAUAUUUAAAAAAAUAUUUUUAAUCCUCUGUCUCACCCUUUGAUUUUUUUAGAGAUAUUCAAAAAUUAAAAUAUAUCAUUAUGUCUUUUCGUUUUAAUGCUAAAAGAGAUAAAAAAAAUAGAAAGCUAAAAUGACUUUUCAUUUGUAAAGUUAAAAAAUACUAAAUAAAUCAUUAUAUCUUUUUAGUUUUAAUUUUUUACUUGAUUAAAAGAGAAAUAAUUAACGAAUGAAAAAUAAUUAUUCCCAAAUAAAUUUAUAAGAAAUGAGAUUUUGCUAAAAGAAAAAGCAUGUAAAAGUAUACACGUUCUUAUGAAAUACAAAGAUUUUGCUAAAAGAAAAAGUAUCCAAUUUUAAGAAUGAAAAAUAUAUGGUAAAAGGAAGACUAAGUGGUUGUUGAAAAAUACAAAAAUUUUGAAAAUCUAAUAUCCAUAACUUUUCAAUGUAAAAGAAAAAAAUGACUGUAACACCAAUGUUGUGGUAUUAUUUGUUGCCUAUAAGUACCAUUCCUAUCCUUCAUCUUCCUCUACCAACAUAACAUGGCCUCCUAUCUCUUUCUGUCCCUGUUCCUCUUCUUUCCCCAUCUUUAUGCUUCUUUUUCUUCUUCAGGAUCUCACUCCUGCUCUUCACUAAUCCAGUUCAAGAACUCUUUUUCCAUCACAGAGUAUGCUUCUUAUCAUUGCAAUGAGAUUGCUGGCCUUCAAUCUUAUCCCAAGACAAAUUCAUGGAAGGAGGGUACAGAUUGCUGCUCAUGGGAUGGGGUCACUUGUGACCACCUAAAUGCUCAUGUUAUUGCCCUUGACUUGAGCUGCAGUUGGCUAUAUGGCAACUUCCCUUCCAAUUCCACUCUCUUCCUUCUUCCUCACCUUCAAAAACUCAACCUUGCCUACAAUCAUUUUAAUCGUUCCAAAAUGCCAUCCGAGUUCGGUCGGUUUACAAGCCUACUCUACCUCGACCUUUCCAGUACAGGGUUUGCAGGAGAAGUCCCAUCCCAAGUCUCCCACUUGUCAAAAUUGGUUUCACUUAAUCUUUCUUGGAUUGGACAACAAUUAACAAUUGACAAACAUGCUCUGGAGGGACUUGUUCACAACCUAACCGAGGUCAGGUAUCUGUUUUUGGAUGGAAUCAACAUGGCUUCUGUUAAUGCUCAAGUCUUUAUGAAUCUAUCCUCUUCUCUAAGGUCUCUCAGUCUUUCUGGUUGUGAUUUGCAAGGAAAAUUCCCAAAAAACAUUUUUGAUUUGCCAAACCUCAAUCUCCUCAACUUUGGAGACAACCAAUUGAGUGGACAAAUUCCAAGAUUAUUGGGGAACCUCUUGCAACUCACUUCUUUAGACUUGUCGUUGAACCAAUUGAGUGGACAAAUUCCAUUGUCAAUUCUAAACCUAACGCAGCUGGAAUUUUUGGCAAUAUCUGAAAAUUUAUUAGAAGGUUCCAUUCCAGAUGAAGUAACCGCUUUUCCUAACCUAAAAUUUUUAUACUUAGAUAACAAUUUACUCAGUGGAACACUUCCGUCAUGGUUGUAUACUGCUCCCUCAUUAGACAGUAUAGGUCUCUCUCAAAAUCAAUUCAGUGGGCAUAUCAAAGAAUUCCAAUCCAAAUCACUAGAAUGGAUAGCGUUAGAGAAUAAUAAACUCCAAGGUCCUCUUCCAUCUUCAAUAUUCCAACUUCUCAAUCUUACCCGCCUCUUUUUAUCCUCAAAUAAUCUUAGUGGUGUCAUAGAGUUUCGCAUGUUCUCAAACCUUCCAAAUCUCGACCUUCUUGACCUUUCAUAUAACAGCCUAUCCUUAACAUCUAAUACUACUUCUACUGUUAAUCAUAUAUUGCCUAAUCUUACAAUGUUAUUUUUGUCAUCUUGCAAUCUUAGUGAAUUCCCCCAAUUUUUGAAAGGGCUUAAAAGGUUGGAAAUGUUAGACCUCUCUUGCAACAAACUUCAAGGCAAGAUUCCACAGUGGAUGCAAGAGGUGGGGAAUGUCUCUUUGACUUUCUUAAACGUAUCUCACAACUCUUUGACAGAAGUUGAGCACUUUCCGUGGAAUAAUAUUGCAGUUCUGGACUUAAGCUCCAAUUUGAUCCGUGGAAAUCUUCCGAUUCCAGCUUCGAAGAUCAAUGUCUUUCUGAUCUCAAAUAAUAGUUUCAAUGGAGAGGUCUCUUCUUUAAUCUGCAAUGCCAGUGAUCUUGAAAUUCUUGAUUUGUCCCACAAUAACUUGAGUGGAACAAUUCCGCAAUGUUUUGGAAAUUUGAGCAACAGCCUUGAAUUCUUGAAUCUGAAGAAGAACAAGUUCUAUGGGACGAUUCCUCCAACAUUUGCAGAGGGAUGCCAAUUGAGUAAUUUCAACUUAAAUGGAAAUCUGUUAGAAGGGCCUUUGACACCAUCCAUCCUUAAUUGUAAUGAUCUGGAAGUGCUAGAUCUUGGUAACAACAAGAUCAAUGAUACAUUUCCUCAUUGGUUGGGAAGUCUUCCACAGCUACAAGUUCUUGUAUUGAAGUCAAAUCAUAUGCAUGGUUCCUUGCGUGUCAAUAGCUCCAAGUCUAGCCCUUUUUUCUCUAAAAUCCAAAUUUUUGAUCUCUCAAGUAAUUAUUUUUCUGGACCCCUACCAGUGAGAUACAUCAACAGCUUCAAGGCUAUCAUAAAUCUAGAGAAGAUUGGUAGUACAGUGUCGUACAUGGGGGUGAAUGAUGGCUUCUAUACCUAUUCCAUUGGAAUUGUUAUAAAAGGACAAUAUAUGGAAUUGGUGAAAAUUUUCACCGUGUGGAUGAUCAUUGAUCUAUCAAACAAUCAGUUUGAAGGGGGUAUUCCAGAGGUUUUUGGGAAGCUUAACUUACUGAAAGGGCUCAACCUUUCUCAUAAUAACCUUAAUGGUGGUAUCCCUACCUCAAUAGGGAAUUUGACAAGUCUUGAAUGGUUGGACCUAUCUUCAAACAGGUUGUCUGGGACGAUUCCAAAUAGAUUGGCAGAUCUGCCAUUUCUUUCGUCCUUCAAUGUUUCUGAAAAUCAACUCCAUGGUCAGAUUCCUCAAGG